rnacentral:rRNA from 1 species
AGAGUUUGAUCCUGGCUCAGAACGAACGCUGGCGGCGUGGAUAAGACAUGCAAGUCGAGCGGGAUUUUCUUUGGUAGCAAUACCGAGGAAAAUUCAGCGGCGAACGGGUGCGUAACACGUGGGCAAUUUGCCUUAAAGUGUGGGAUAGCUCGGCGAAAGCCGAAUUAAUACCGCAUGUGGCUACUGGAGACAUCUUCGGGACGCUAAAGGUGGCGCAAGCUACCGCUUUUUGAGAAGCCCGCGGCCUAUCAGCUUGUUGGUGAGGUAACGGCUCACCAAGGCUAUGACGGGUAGCUGGUCUGAGAGGACGACCAGCCACACUGGGACUGAGACACGGCCCAGACACCUACGGGUGGCAGCAGUCGAGAAUUUUUGACAAUGGGGGAAACCCUGAUCGAGCGACGCCGCGUGGAGGAUGAAGGUCUUCGGGUUGUAAACUCCUGUCAUUUGGGAACAAGGCGCGUGUAUUAACUGUGCACGCGUUGAUAGUACCAGAAGAGGAAGAGACGGCUAACUCUGUGCCAGCAGCCGCGGUAAUACAGAGGUCUCAAGCGUUGUUCGGAUUCAUUGGGCGUAAAGGGUGUGUAGGUGGCGCGCUAAGUCGGGUGUGAAAUUUCGGAGCUUAACUCCGAAACUGCAUUCGAUACUGGCGUGCUUGAGGACUGGAGAGGAGACUGGAAUUUACGGUGUAGCAGUGAAAUGCGUAGAUAUCGUAAGGAAGACCAGUGGCGAAGGCGGGUCUCUGGACAGUUCCUGACACUGAGACACGAAGGCCAGGGGAGCAAACGGGAUUAGAUACCCCGGUAGUCC